UCUAGUUUGGUACAGAAGCUUUCGAAAUCGUCUACAGCCUUAGAAGACUAGUAGUUUUGGGGCUUUCACUUUGAACGGAACGAAGUGCCAUCGCAGUUCGCGAGUUGGUUGUUCUAACCCCGACGCAUUAUCGCAGGCAGCAAGGCGGUAAAUCUCGAAGAGGAAUCCCUCUGGGACUGAACCGCUGACUCACAGACGCGUAUAAGUUCUGAUAGAAAUCUUCAGUUUCCGGAUCCGGUCUCAUCGCAAAUAUUUCGACUACUCAUCCGUCGUCAGGAUCUAGGACGCAGUUCGUAAUUAGAGAAACUUUUAAUCGGGGAAAAGCCGAGAUUAAAAAAAGGUUUUUUGUUACGCAGCCCGAUAGUUAAAGAUAAAAACGGUGAAAAUGUUCGCCAUAAUGCAGCUAGAUAACGACGUGUCGAGAGAUCAGUUCCGUAGAAAGAUGCGUGCGAAGUGCGAGUUUGUGUGCAAGUAUUGCCAGAGGAGGUUCACCAAGCCUUACAACCUCAUGAUACACGAGAGGACCCACAAAAGUCCCGAGCUCACUUUCAGCUGCGAGGUAUGUGGCAAAAGUUUUAAGAGGCAGGACAACCUGAAACAACAUAGAUGUAAUCAAUGUAUAUGGCGAUAAGGUGACUUCUGGUGGUGAAAAAAGGGCUGUAAAUUGGGCUCUUCUUCUCUUAUACGCAAUGACAAUCCACUAUCCAUGCACCACAGCGGCGUACAGUUGUUUCGGUCGGUACUAAACCCACUAAACUCGACGGCAAAAUCUUCAAAGCAGUAUUUUACAUUAACUUAUUUGUUAUUUGCGCCACAUAUGUAUAUAUUUUACGUAUUAGGUACUUAUUUAUGUCGAUGAAAAAUAUUUUUUAAUAACAUUUCGAGGACAAUUUCUGUCUAGUCUCAAAAAUGUACUUUCCUUAACUCUUAAGGGGGAAAACGUUUUAUUCUGGGAAUAAAAUUGUUUGACUUUUAUUCGGCCAUAUUUUUAACUUUUUUACAUUUUUUUUUACCAGCGAUUUUCCGACUUUAUAUUCUUAAUUCACAAUCGUAUAUUUGGUUUUAAAUUGACAUAAUUGAUAAAAUGUAAUACCAAAACAAUAAAUUAAAACUUUGACUUGUAAUUACGUAUUAACAAUAGAAAGUUGAUUAAUUAUUACGUUUUAAUUUUUGUGGCAUUAUUUUAUUUGCUUCGGUCAAACCCUUGCCAUUUGACAAUGCCAGUUCUUAUAUAGAGUGGACCUGAUUUUUGCAGAAAAACUGUUACAGUAGUUUAAUUUAAUUUUUGCAAUAACUGGCCCUACUCAAUAAAAUUACUCGUAAAUGUAUUUGAAAAAAUACUCUUCGCUAAAAAAUGCCUUUUGAAGCUUCGCAACUUUAACUUUUUUUUAUUGAACUGUUAAAAGUUUUCAUUAAAAAUUUGGUCCACCCUGUAGAAGUAAUUUUAGGUUUGUGAUUUAUAUAUAGUUAACGCAAUUUGCAAAGUGCAAUUGAUUUCUCUGUGCUCUAAGCGACGAAGAAACGAGCGACUUACAGGACGAUUUUUAUAUCUGGUGCUUCAUAAUUUUACGAGUGUUUGACAAAGCUGUAACCUCCUAAUUAGUUGGAAUACUGCGAAGCUAACGAAAAAAUAACGGCUAUUAUUGUAUGUAAUUUCGUGUAUUUUUUUCAUGGAUUGCGUAUCUUUUGCGGACUGCAAAAAAUAUGACAGUGCUUGUAGCGUUGAGUAGUAACCGACGCAAUCUACUUAUUAUAUUUUCGCUCUUUUCCCUAGUUCGAUAAUAUUAUUUAUUAAUUGUAGAUGUUAAA